UACGUAGGGUGCAAGCAUUAUCCGGAGUGACUGGGCGUAAAGAGUUGCGUAGGUGGACAAGUAAGCGAAUAGUGAAAUGUGGCGGCUCAACCGUACACACUAUUAUUCGAACUGCUCGUCUCGAGAAUGGUAGAGGUAACUGGAAUUUCUAGUGUAGGAGUGAAAUCCGUAGAUAUUAGAAGGAACACCAAUGGCGUAGGCAGGUUACUGGACCAUUUCUGACACUGAGGCACGAAAGCGUGGGGAGCGAACCGG
rnacentral:rRNA from 1 species